AACACGGAAGUGAAACGCUGCAGCCCCGAUGAUAGUGCUUCUAUAGGUUGCGCGAAAGUAGGACGUCGCCAGUU
rnacentral:rRNA from 1 species